GCUGGUAGUCUGCGCCUGUAAUCCUAGCUACUGGGGAGGCUGAGGAGAGAGGAUCGCUUGAGCCCAGGAGUUCUGGGCUGUAGUGCACUGUGUCACUAGAUAGAGUGUCUGCACUUAAGUUCAGGAGGGAGGGACCACCCAGGUUGCCUAAGGAGGGAUGAACCGGCCCAGGUCGGAGAUGGAGCAGGUCAAAACUCCCGUGCUGAUCAGUAAUGGGAUCAUACCUGUGAACAGCCACUGCACUCCAGCCUGGGCAACAUGGGGAGACCCUGUCUCU
ensembl:misc_RNA RN7SL181P RNA, 7SL, cytoplasmic 181, pseudogene